CCUACGUGAGGCAGCAGUAGGGAAUUUUCGGCAAUGGGGGGAACCCUGACCGAGCAACGCCGCGUGAACGAAGAAGUUAUUCGUAAUGUAAACUUCUUUUCUCAGGGACGAAGCAAGUGACGGUACCUGAGGAAUAAGCCACGGCUAACUACGUGCCAGCAGCCGCGGUAAUACGUAGGUGGCAAGCGUUAUCCGGAUUUACUGGGUGUAAAGGGCGUGUAGGCGGGGACGCAAGUCAGAUGUGAAAACCACGGGCUCAACCUGUGGCCUGCAUUUGAAACUGUGUUUCUUGAGUACUGGAGAGGCAGACGGAAUUCCUAGUGUAGCGGUGAAAUGCGUAGAUAGUAGGAGGAACACCAGUGGCGAAGGCGGUCUGCUGGACAGCAACUGACGCUGAGGCGCGAAAGCGUGGGGAGCAAACAGGAUUAGAUACCCUGGUAGUC
rnacentral:rRNA from 1 species